UGUUACUCUUUAACUGUUUUGAUAAACUGAG
rnacentral:piRNA from 1 species